rnacentral:rRNA from 1 species
AGUGAACGCUGGCGGCGUGCUUAACACAUGCAAGUCGAACGAGAACGGAAUAUAGCUUGCUAUAUUUGUCAGCUAAGUGGCGCACGGGUGAGUAAUGUAUAGAUAACCUGCCCUUAAGAUAGGAAUAACAGUCGGAAACGAAUGCUAAUGCCCUAUACGCCUUUAAUACAUAAGUAUGCAAGGGAAGCGCUUUAGUGCUUAAGGAUGGGUCUGUAUGGUUUCAGCUUGUUGGUGAGGUAAUGGCUGACUAUGGCUAUGACGCCUAACUGGUGUGAGAGGAGGAACAUUCACACUGGGACUGAGACACGGUCCGGACUGCUACGGGAGGCAGGAGUGGGGAAUAUUGCACAAGGGACGAAAGUCUGAUGCGGCAGCGCCGCGUGGAGGAUGACACAUUUCGGUGCGUAACUCCUCUGAGACGGGGAGUUAAUGACGGUACUAUGUGAAUAAGCACCGGCUAACUCCGUGCCAGCCGCCGCGGUAA